rnacentral:lncRNA from 1 species
AAUCAGUAUAUAUUAAAUAAAUCAACAUAUGUCGUUUUAUUUUUCAUUAUUAUUUUUAUAACAAAAAAUGGAAAUUUAAAAUUUUUAGCUUUUUGUAAGUUAGUAGUUAUGUUCUUUCUUAGUUUUUGUCUAUUUCGAAAAGGAAUAAAUGCAGCCAUUAUAGAUGUAGGAAAGAGGGCUUGGCACAAUCCUAGCAUUAUCACCACCAAUGGUGUAUUGCGUAUUCUCAACUUAAUUACCAAGGAAAGUAUCUUUUUCCAAGGGACUAUCAAAAGAUCUGGUGAGGAAAAUGCAUCCGAAGAAAAUCAUACCUCAACUCUGAAAGGGCCCCACAUUCACACAAAAUAUGGAAAGGAAUUUCAUCUCCUUGAUAUCAUCUACAGUUGGGACUAUUAGCCAUCCCAAUUAAAUG